UACAGAGGUCUCAAGCGUUGUUCGGAUUCAUUGGGCGUAAAGGGUGCGUAGGUGGCGCUGUAAGUCGGGUGUGAAAUUUCGGAGCUUAACUCCGAAACUGCAUUCGAUACUGCGCGGCUAGAGUGCUGGAGGGGAGACUGGAAUUUACGGUGUAGCAGUGAAAUGCGUAGAUAUCGUAAGGAAGACCAGUGGCGAAGGCGACAUCCUGGACCGGUAUUGACGCUGAGGCGCGAAAGCCAGGGGAGCAAACGGG
rnacentral:rRNA from 1 species